rnacentral:rRNA from 1 species
CCCUUAGACGUUCUGGGCCGCACGCGCGCUACACUGACGGAGCCAGCGAGUAUAAACCUUGGCCGAGAGGUCUGGGAAAUCUUGUGAAACUCCGUCGUGCUGGGGAUAGAGCAUUGUAAUUAUUGCUCUUCAACGAGGAAUUCCUAGUAAGCGCAAGUCAUCAGCUUGCGUUGAUUACGUCCCUGCCCUUUGUACACACCGCCUGUCGCUACUACCGAUUGAAUGGCUUAGUGAGGCUUCCGGAUUGGUUUAGAGAAGGGGGCAACUCCAUCUUGGAACCGAGAAGCUAGUCAAACUUGGUCAUUUAGAGGAAGUAAAAGUCGUAACA